UACGGGGGGAGCAAGCGUUGUUCGGAUUUACUGGGCGUAAAGGGCGCGUAGGCGGCGCAACAAGUCACUUGUGAAAUCUCCGGGCUUAACCCGGAGCGGCCAAGUGAUAUUGUCGUGCUAGAGUGCGGAAGGGGCUACUGGAAUUCUCGGUGUAGCGGUGAAAUGCGUAGAUAUCGUAAGGAAGACCAGUGGCGAAGGCGGGUCUCUGGACAGUUCCUGACGCUGAGGCACGAAGGCCAGGGGAGCAAACGGG
rnacentral:rRNA from 1 species